CCAUCCAACUAUGAGGUCAUAGACAGACACAUGAGACAGAACAAGGUCUUCACAGUACUGUAGUGACUUUGGAACCUCCUGCUAGUGGACGCCCAUGGCACCCUACCAUAUCUGUUUUCAGGAGCUUUGGGUUUCAGGCUGCAUCUAAGAGUUCCAUUGAUGCCAGUUUGGGAAUUAAGGAUAAAAUGAUUGUCUUUAGGUCAGCUGACCAAUGCUUAGAAGCCCUCAGUGGAAUCUGA
rnacentral:lncRNA from 1 species